rnacentral:tRNA from 1 species
GGUAAGAUGGCUGAGUUUUAAGUGGUGGGUUGUAGCCCCAUAUAGAGAGGUUCGAAUCCUCUUCUUAUCA